rnacentral:tRNA from 1 species
GCCACCUUAGCUCAGUUGGCUAGAGCGCCAAUUUUGUAAAUUGGAAGUCCUGAGUUCGAAUCUCAGAGGUGGCU